rnacentral:lncRNA from 10 species
CCUGGCGCACGGGACACGUCACCACCUUCGCGUCUUUUCUGGAGAGCGCGGGAAUGAGAGCGCCGGAGGGUGGUGACGUCACCGGGGUUCCCUGCGUGGCUCGCAGGGGCGGGGCCAGAAACUGCCGCGAUGAAUGUCAGUCCCCAGAGCCGGAACCGUUCCCGGUUUUCUCUACUUGGAUCUGAGAACUCUGUCCCUCCAGCCCUGCGAGCGCUUUGCCAGGGUGACGGGCGGAAAUGUCCCCGCAUCCGUGCCUGCUUUCCCAGAUGGGACCCUCCAGCAGUCCCCUCCACUGCCCGUGCUUCCUCCUAACCACUUCCCCCCAGCGACCGCGGAAGGCGCUUCCUCCCCCGCAGCGCGAGCCCCAAGCUCCUCCAGAGCCCCAGCUCUCCCCGCCCCCUUCCCGACCUUGUUUCAUAUGACCCCUCCCCCGCACAUACUCAAUUUCGUCUUCCCAAGGCGCCCACUCUCCACAUCCUGAUGAAAAAAAGAGCCGGCUGCUGUCCUAUGUUAUUGUCAUACUUCUUUCCUCCCGUGCACUACACAACUUGAACAACUUUUUUUUUUCUUUUUUUGAGAAAAGGUCUCGAACUGUCGCCCAGGCUGGAGUACAGUGGCACGAUGAUGGCUCACUGCAGCCUCGCCCUCUCUGGGCACAGGUGAUCCUCCUGCCUCAGCUUCCCAAGAAGCUGGUACUACAGGCGCGUGCCACCACUAUUGGCUAAUUUUAAUUUUUUUUUAACCACAGGGUCUCGCUAUGUUGCCCAGGCUGGUCUCGAACCCCUAGGCUCAAGGGAUCCUCUCACCUCAGCCUCCCAAAGCGUGAGAUUACAGGCGUGAGCCACCGCGCCCCGCGGUAAAUACUAUUCCAAGGAAAUGGCACCUGAGUUUGAGGAGAUUAAUCGGGUUUACUGCAGGGAAGGAGCAUUGGCCCUGGUGGCCAGAGGCAAGGGUACGAACCUGACCCUGCCCUUUCCCUGCCUGGUUCUGCCUUCAGCAAAUUGUUCCACACAUCUCUGGUUUCCUCCCCACAUGAUCCCAAGGCCCUGCUGGCUCUAGCCUUUGUGAGGCUAGAAUUACAAUUCCAUUCCUCCCCAGCCACGCCCCAUCUCUUGCUCCCUGUGCUAGCGCUUUCCCCAAUCAGCCACACUUUCCUUUCCCAUUCACUGAGCCUGUGGAAAGCCCUCUUAUUCUGAAUAUCUAGAUCCUAUUCACCUUUGAAGACCCGACUUGGCCACGUUUCUUCCCAAAGCCUACUGCAUGCCCUUUGUGGGAGGAACUGCUCUGUCCUUGCAACGCCACUGUGUGUAGUACUUUCUCUGUAUCUUACCAGUGGCAUCGCCCACUCUGCCUGGGGUGCUGUUCCAUACUUGCCCUUCUUCCAGUGCCAUCUAUGUGUGUGGUAAGACCUCAGCAUAGCACUUUGCCCACGGUAAAGGAUAUGGUUUCGGGAGUCCCAAGACCCGGGUCCACGUCCCAGCUCUGACACUAAAUGUGUUAUCUUGAACAUGUCACAUGGCCUUUCUGAGCUUAAUUUCCCCAAAUGUAAAAUGGAAAUAGUAACUUAUUUCAUAGUGUUGCUGUGUUGAUUAGAUGAGACAUUAUAUAAGAAAAUGCUUUGUGAACUGUAAAGCUAUUUACACACAUAAAUAAUAGUAAAGAUAGAUAUUAUUCAGAUGCUGGCAAGAGGGAUAUUCUUUGCAAAACAGAAUUAAAAAAAAAAAAGAAAA